UACGUAGGAUCCAAGCGUUGUCCGGAUUUACUGGGUGUAAAGGGUGCGCAGGCGGACUUGUAAGUCAGAGGUGAAAUCUCUCCGCUCAACGGGGAAACUGCCUUUGAGACUGCAGGUCUUGAAUCCGGGAGAGAGUUGUGGAAUUCCGAGUGUAGCAGUGAAAUGUGUAGAUAUUCGGAAGAACACCAGCGGCGAAGGCAGCAACUUGGCCCGCGAUUGACGCUCAGGCACGAAAGCAUGGGGAUCAAACAGG
rnacentral:rRNA from 1 species